rnacentral:rRNA from 1 species
GAUGAACGCUAGCGGCAGGCUUAAUACAUGCAAGUCGUGGGGCAGCAUGACUGUGGCAAUACAGUUGAUGGCGACCGGCAAACGGGUGCGGAACACGUACACAACCUUCCUUUAAGUGGGGAAUAGCCCAGGGAAACUUGGAUUAAUACCCCGUAACAUAUAGAAGUGGCAUCACUUUUAUAUUAUAGCUCCGGCGCUUAAAGAUGGGUGUGCGGCUGAUUAGAUAGUUGGCGGGGUAACGGCCCACCAAGUCGACGAUCAGUAACUGGUGUGCGAGCACGACCAGGCACACGGGCACUGAGACACGGGCCCGACUCCUACGGGAGGCAGCAGUAAGGAAUAUUGGUCAAUGGACGCAAGUCUGAACCAGCCAUGCCGCGUGGAGGAUGAAGGCCCUCUGGGUUGUAAACUUCUUUUAUAGGGGACGAAAAAAGGGAAUUCUUUCUCACUUGACGGUACCCUAGGAAUAAGCACCGGCUAACUCCGUGCCAGCAGCCGCGGUAACAC